GGGGAUGAAAGGAUUUCGACGGGGAUUCUGAAGCCUUGUAAGCGAGCGGCGGUGCGGGACCGCCAUAAAAUCCGCAAUUUUAAAAUUAAACGACAACAAUCAAGUUGCAUUAGCUGCUUAAAGCAGCUCGUCCUUGCCGUGAGUACCGCGGCUCGGUAAAGGGCGUCGAUCAGCGGUGAACGUGAACGGAAGAGUAGCUUUGUAUUCCGUCACGGCUUAAAAGCUACCGAUGCGGCAAGCCUGACAUCCGGCGUGCCGAAGGGGGAAUCUUAAAAGAAUGUCUACGCUCGUAGAAAGCACUGAAGAGGGAUUUUCGGACGCGGUUUCGAUUACCGCCAUCUCCACCA
rnacentral:tmRNA from 1 species